UACGUAGGGGGCAAGCGUUGUCCGGAUUUAUUGGGCGUAAAGAGCGUGUAGGCGGCCAUACAGGUCAGCUGUGAAAACUCGAGGCUCAACCUCGAGACGUCGGUUGAAACCGUAUGGCUAGAGUCCGGAAGAGGAGAGUGGAAUUCCCGGUGUAGCGGUGAAAUGCGCAGAUAUCGGGAAGAACACCCGUGGUGAAGGCGGCUCUCUGGGACGGUACUGACGCUGAGACGCGAAAGCGUGGGGAGCGAACAGG
rnacentral:rRNA from 1 species